UGCAAAGCUGCGAGAUCUAGGGAGCACCAACUGUCCGUGCCAUUUACCAAUCUUCAAUCCACAGGUAGAGAGAGUCCUAGAAAUAAUUUCCUUCCGAAAAAAGAUUGCGAAAAAGUUAAGGAAAUCUUAGACUAACGAACUCUCCGCAGUGCUGAAUGCUACAAUGUUUUUUUGAAAAUAUGGUACCAGUGCUGUUCUAAAAAAUAAUACUAUUAGACUUGCCAGCAUAUUCUGUCUUUUCACCAGUGAAUCAAGUGAUUCCAAAAAAGAAAAAAAGAAUGAGUUUCCCUAUCCCUCGAGUCAGGAAUCAACCAAUCAGAAAUCCCGCAACACUAAAAGAAAUGGCACUUGGUGCUAGUGCAAUUUUAAUAUCAGACUUUGAUAAAAUUAGGCACAUAGUUGAAGAGCUACACAGUCAGAUUCAAUACGAAUUUAUGACUGCUGAAGCGGCUAUGAUAGUGAAAAAUUAUCCCGAUUAUACAGAAACAUAUAAAUUGGAAGCUGAAGAUAAAAUUAAAGAUCUCUGCAUGCCUGAAACACUUAAAAAGGAACUUGUCGACUACAGUGUCAAACUUUGUUUAGAAACCUUCAAAUUUCUUAACAUAAACCGUGCAAUUAUGCAUGAAACGGUGGAGCUAAAGGAUUACGUUGUCCUUAACGCCGACGGUUCGAUAAAUCAUCGUAAAACUCACGAAAAAAUAGUAUUGGACAACGAUCUGAGAUUCAAAUUAAGAUUUGCAAGCGCGUGUCACUUAUAUUGCGUACAGGACAUUCUUACGAUAUGGCAUGAAGUGUCAACAUAUCAGGCUUAUCCGAGAUUUUAGUUUCUUUUAGUUUAUUUAGUUUCUUUUAGUUUUCCGAGAUUUUAGUUUCUUUUAGUUUUGCCGAGAUUUUAGUUUCCUUUAGUUUCUUUUAGUUUUACCGAGAUUUUAGCUUCCUUUAGUUUCUUUUAGUUUUACCGAGAUUUUAGUUUCCUUUAGUUUCUUUUAGUUUUACCGAGAUUUUAGUUUCUUUUAGUUUUACCGAGAUUUUAGUUUCCUUUAGUUUAUUCAGGUUUCUCCAAGAUUUUAGUUUCUUUUUUUUUUCACUUAGAAGUCUCUACCUGUAACGAGUUAAAGAAAAAAAAAAUUCUCUUAAAAGCAGAAGACAACAAUGAGGUAAAGAUGGACAUACUCUUGUGAGUUUCGUUUUUUACUGCUAGUUAAAGCAGUUCAGUAAUAAAAUUGAGUUUCAUUUUUGAUUCCAAAGAGCAACUAAAAAACUAUAUUCACUGAAAGACUUAAUAACAUAUUUAUAAUGGAAUAAUGUUGCCAUGCCACCAACACAUAGACUCUUGACGAAACUAUCGAAAUUUUAGGGACAUUUGAGUAGAUGCUGUGGAUAUUUAAGCAAGAAAUUAUAUGAUAGCACAAACAUAAUGGGGUUUCGUUUUUUACUGCUAGUUAAAGCAGUUCAGUAAUAAAAUUUAGUUUCAUUUUUGAUUCCAAAGAGCAACUAAAAAACUAUAUUCACUGAAAGACUUAAUAACAUAUUUAUAAUGGAAUAAUGUUGCCAUGCCACCAUCACAUAGACUCUUGACGAAACUAUCGAAAUUUUAGGGACAUUUGAGUAGAUGCUGUGGAUAUUUAAGCAAGAAAUUAUAUGAUAGCACAAACAUAAUGGGGUUUCGUUUUUUACUGCUAGUUAAAGCAGUUCAGUAAUAAAAUUGAGUUUCAUUUUUGAUUCCAAAGAGCAACUAAAAAACUAUAUUCACUGAAAGACUUAAUAACAUAUUUAUAAUGGAAUAAUGUUGCCAUGCCACCAACACAUAGACUCUUGACGAAACUAUCGAAAUUUUAGGGACAUUUGAGUAGAUGCUGUGGAUAUUUAAGCAAGAAAUUAUAUGAUAGCACAAACAUUAUGGGGCUGAAAACUUUCUUGCUUGUCUCACUACUCAUCGAAUGUGAAACACGAAUAAAAGAUCAUCUCAAAGUAGCGGACUGCUACUUAACAGGACGUGUGGUUAAUGACUUGAUUACAUUUUUAAAACAGCAUGCAUGCCCGGAUACUGGAAUAGAUUAUUCCAAUGUAUAUCAAAAUCACAGAGAAAUGACUGUAAAUACUGUGCAUCAUUUUUUAGAUCCUGAUCAAACGAUAAAAAGUCGAAAAGGAUGAAACUGGAAAUUUUCUAGUUUUGAUGGAAAUUAUUUGAGUAUUUCAACUACUACUCUUGCACUGUAUUUGCGUCGAAGUGUGUAUUUAAAUUCUGUUGACAAAGUUUAUUGCAUGUUUGAGAUUUAAAAAUUCUGCUUCCAUAUCUUCUAAGUUAUUUCUUUCAGCUUGGAAAAAUGGGAUUUACUGUUAUCAGUAUUUUCAUCGAUGAUUUUAAGUGUUUUAUAUAUUUGUUGGUGUUAUAUUUUUUAUUUACUGUUUUAUAGGUGUUUAUUUACUGUUGGUGUUAUAGUUAUUAUUUACUGUUAGUGUUAUAGUUAUUAUUUACUGUUGGUGUUAUAGUUAAUAUUUACUGUUAUACAUUUGUGAAGAAUGCAUUUAUUGAUUUGUUUGCUAUUCACUUUACAUGUCACAGCUAAUGUGCAUGCAUAGUUCUCAUGUUAUGAGAACUGUUUAAUUCAUUGUAAAUAUCAUCAUUCUGUAAUUUUUAAUAACGGUUUGAAUUUUUUAAUAAUGUUUUCCUCUGUUUUUCUUCUUCAUUAAUUUUGAUUCUAUUCUACAAUAUAAAGAAAUUCAAACUAAAUUAUUGUUAGAUGAAUGUAAUUAUUUAAAAUAUUUAACAUUUAAAUAUUAUUCAGACUUUUUAAUUUAUCAAAUUUUAUAAAUCUAUCCCAAUCAAAAUGUACAUUUUUGUGCAAAUUUCACAAUUUUUAUUUGUUUAUAUUUUAAAAACUUUAAUAAAUUUCAAGUAUUCAGUAAUACUUUCAAAAUACUUUCAGUAUUUUCAUCAAUGAUUUUAAGCGUUUUAUAUAUUUGUUGGUGUUAUAUUUUUUAUUUACUGUUUUAUAUACACAUUUGAAAGGAAUGUAUUUGUUGAUUUGUUUGCUAGUCAUUUGUACAUGUCACAGCUAAUGUGCAUGCAUAGUUCUCAUGUUAUGAGAGUUCUUUAAUUCAUUGUAAAUAUCAUCAUUCUGUAAUUUUUAAUAACGAUUUGAACUUUUUUUUUGAGUUUUUUAAUAACGUUUUCACCUAUUUUUCUUCUUUGUUAAUUUUGAUUCUUUUCUACAAAGGACUGUUAUUUACUGUUUUAUAUAUAUAUUUAAGGAAAAUGUAUAUGUUGACUUGUGUUCUGUUCACUUGUACAUGUCACAGCUAAUGUACAUACAUAAUUCUAAUGUUAUGAGAACUCUGUAAAUCUUUUUAAAUAUUCAUUCUAUUAUUUUUAAUAACAUUUUGGGCUUUCGUUCCUCUAUUUUUUUCCCCCUUCAUUAACGCAAUUCAUUUCUGCAAUCUAAAGAAAUUUACAGUAAAUCUUGUUAGACGAAUGUAAUUAGUUGAGAUAUUUAACUUUUAAAUAUUUUUAAGACUUUAUAAUUCAUCAAAUUUUAUAAAAUUUUAAUAAUGAAAAUGUGCAAAUUUGACUAUUUA